GCAGGCAACAUUUGUUUUAAGUUUCAUCAAUUUUGAAGCUUUUUGAAAAUUUUGACAUUUUUGGAGUUUCCAUGGCAACGGCGGCCAUUUUGGAAAUUUCGAACUAAAAAGUGAAGUCUACAUUAGCUUCACAACAUAUGUUAUAAGUUUCAUUUAAUUUGAAGCAUUUUGAUGUUUUUCUUAUUUUUGCUGUUUCCAUGGUUACGGCGGCCAUUUUGAAAAUUCCAAAGUGUCACUUCUGCUGC
rnacentral:lncRNA from 1 species